UACGUAGGGUCCGAGCGUUGUUCGGAAUUACUGGGCGUAAAGGGCUCGUAGGCGGCCAACUAAGUCGGAUGUGAAAUCCCCAAGCUUAACUUGGGAACUGCAUCCGAUACUGGAUGGCUUGAAUCCGGGAGAGGGAUGCAGAAUUCCAGGUGUAGCGGUGAAAUGCGUAGAUAUCUGGAGGAAUACCGGUGGCGAAGGCGGCAUCCUGGACCGGCAUUGACGCUGAGGAGCGAAAAGCUAGGGGAGCAAACGGGG
rnacentral:rRNA from 1 species